rnacentral:rRNA from 1 species
GAUGAACGCUAGCGGCAGGCUUAACACAUGCAAGUCGAGGGGUAGAGUUCUUCGGAGCUUGAGACCGGCGCACGGGUGCGUAACGCGUAUGCAAUCUGCCUUUCACAGAGGGAUAGCCCAGAGAAAUUUGGAUUAAUACCUCAUAGUAUUAUAGAAUGGCAUCAUUUUAUAAUUAAAGUCACAACGGUGAAAGAUGAGCAUGCGUCCCAUUAGCUAGUUGGUAAGGUAACGGCUUACCAAGGCAACGAUGGGUAGGGGUCCUGAGAGGGAGAUCCCCCACACUGGUACUGAGACACGGACCAGACUCCUACGGGAGGCAGCAGUGAGGAAUAUUGGACAAUGGGCGCAAGCCUGAUCCAGCCAUGCCGCGUGCAGGAUGACGGUCCUAUGGAUUGUAAACUGCUUUUGCACAGGAAGAAACAGCUCUACGUGUAGAGUCUUGACGGUACUGUGAGAAUAAGGAUCGGCUAACUCCGUGCCAGCAGCCGCGGUAAUACGGAGGAUCCAAGCGUUAUCCGGAAUCAUUGGGUUUAAAGGGUCCGUAGGCGGUUUAGUAAGUCAGUGGUGAAAGCCCAUCGCUCAACGGUGGAACGGCCAUUGAUACUGCUGAACUUGAAUUAUUAGGAAGUAACUAGAAUAUGUAGUGUAGCGGUGAAAUGCUUAGAGAUUACAUGGAAUACCAAUUGCGAAGGCAGGUUACUACUAAUGGAUUGACGCUGAUGGACGAAAGCGUGGGUAGCGAACAGGAUUAGAUACCCUGGUAGUCCACGCCGUAAACGAUGGAUACUAGCUGUUGGAAGCAAUUUCAGUGGCUAAGCGAAAGUGAUAAGUAUCCCACCUGGGGGAG